GUGAAUCAUCGAAUUUUUGAACGCAAAUUGCACUCUCUGGUAAUCCGGAGAGUAUGUCUGUUUGAGGGUCGGUUUAAAUAAAAAUCGGUGUGGUUGCUGCCUUUCGUUUUGACGUACCGGUCUUGGGUUGUCUUGCCUUCGGUUAAGUGUCCUUGAAUUUUGCAUGAUUUUUUUCGAACGUAUUAAAAUGAUUUUAUGUACGUUUGUGUUAUCGUAUAUUAGGUGACGUCAUUCUAAUGAUUCGUGCCAAUAACUUAUCACUAAAAU
rnacentral:misc_RNA from 1 species